rfam:Niastella koreensis GR20-10, complete genome.
AGUGGGAUUCGCCGAAAACCAUUAAAAGAGUAGGCA